rnacentral:lncRNA from 1 species
CCACACCGUACCAACAAUUUUAUAUUUUAGGGAAAACUACAAUGUAGCUGUAUAGUUUUGAAAAAUGGAAAGCAUUUUCCUUUUUAAAUCUGAAGCUAUCUAAUCUGGAAAAAUAUUCAAAACUUUAGAGCUACUACUUUGGUCCAGUCUGUGAUGCCUCACCCCGUGUAAAGCGAGGCGCCGUCACACCGCCUUGUAGGACAUCCUUUACAGAAAGACGACGUCCAGAGAUGUCUGUCCUCCCCAACCUGAGACCAACUCUGACACCUUCCCACCCUCCUCCUCCUCAUAAAUCUGCCUACAAAAGCUGAAAGUAAAAAGUAACCGGUUCAUCUUUCUUAACCAUCCUCACCUAUACAAACUGCAUUAAUAAUUUUAUCAAUUUCCAUGA